rnacentral:rRNA from 1 species
GCAAAAUGACCCCGUAACUUCGGGAGAAGGGGUGCUCUUUAGGGUUAACGCCCAGAAGAGCCGCAGUGAAUAGGCCCAAGCGACUGUUUAUCAAAAACACAGGUCUCUGCUAAACCGUAAGGUGAUGUAUAGGGGCUGACGCCUGCCCGGUGCUGGAAGGUUAAGAGGAGUGGUUAGCUUCUGCGAAGCUACGAAUCGAAGCCCCAGUAAACGGCGGCCGUAACUAUAACGGUCCUAAGGUAGCGAAAUUCCUUGUCGGGUAAGUUCCGACCCGCACGAAAGGCGUAACGAUUUGGGCACUGUCUCAACGAGAGACUCGGUGAAAUCAUAGUACCUGUGAAGAUGCAGGUUACCCGCGACAGGACGGAAAGACCCCGUGGAGCUUUACUGUAGCCUGAUAUUGAAAUUCGGCACAGCUUGUACAGGAUAGGUAGGAGCCUUUGAAACGUGAGCGCUAGCUUACGUGGAGGCGCUGGUGGGAUACUACCCUAGCUGUGUUGGCUUUCUAACCCGCACCACUUAUCGUGGUGGGAGACAGUGUCAGGCGGGCAGUUUGACUGGGGCGGUCGCCUCCUAAAAGGUAACGGAGGCGCUCAAAGGUUCCCUCAGAAUGGUUGGAAAUCAUUCAUAGAGUGUAAAGGCAUAAGGGAGCUUGACUGCGAGACCUACAAGUCGAGCAGGGUCGAAAGACGGACUUAGUGAUCCGGUGGUUCCGCAUGGAAGGGCCAUCGCUCAACGGAUAAAAGCUACCCCGGGGAUAACAGGCUUAUCUCCCCCAAGAGUUCACAUCGACGGGGAGGUUUGGCACCUCGAUGUCGGCUCAUCGCAUCCUGGGGCUGUAGUCGGUCCCAAGGGUUGGGCUGUUCGCCCAUUAAAGCGGUACGCGAGCUGGGUUCAGAACGUCGUGAGACAGUUC